rnacentral:rRNA from 1 species
ACGGGUGAGUAAUGCCUAGGAAUCUGCCUGGUAGUGGGGGACAACGUCUCGAAAGGGACGCUAAUACCGCAUACGUCCUACGGGAGAAAGUGGGGGAUCUUCGGACCUCACGCUAUCAGAUGAGCCUAGGUCGGAUUAGCUAGUUGGUGAGGUAAUGGCUCACCAAGGCGACGAUCCGUAACUGGUCUGAGAGGAUGAUCAGUCACACUGGAACUGAGACACGGUCCAGACUCCUACGGGAGGCAGCAGUGGGGAAUAUUGGACAAUGGGCGAAAGCCUGAUCCAGCCAUGCCGCGUGUGUGAAGAAGGUCUUCGGAUUGUAAAGCACUUUAAGUUGGGAGGAAGGGCAUUAACCUAAUACGUUAGUGUUUUGACGUUACCGACAGAAUAAGCACCGGCUAACUCUGUGCCAGCAGCCGCGGUAAUACAGAGGGUGCAAGCGUUAAUCGGAAUUACUGGGCGUAAAGCGCGCGUAGGUGGUUUGUUAAGUUGAAUGUGAAAUCCCCGGGCUCAACCUGGGAACUGCAUCCAAAACUGGCAAGCUAGAGUAGGGCAGAGGGUGGUGGAAUUUCCUGUGUAGCGGUG